AAACCGUAAAAUUGAGCUGAUCUCAAAUGAACGACUCUCACACAAUUGAAGCAAAAGAGUUGUUUACUGUUCUCGUUCUGUCGUUCUGUCAUCAUCUGUCUGCCCCUGCCGUGCCCCAGCGAUUGUAGUUUUCAAAGUCUUUAAGCUGUGUUUUUUUUUUUUUUUUAAUAAUUUGAGGUUUUAUCGAAGUAUCGUAUAUGUUUUGAAGUCGGAUUUAAGAUUUAAGUGUAUAAAAGAGUGUUUAUUGUUAUGCGUUCUACCGUGCCAUCCCCGUGCACCCUUGCCUACCACUUUCAAAAGAACCUGCGCAGAACCAUGGCUGUCUCGCGCAUGUAGGGGUGAAGGGUGAUGGUGGGGAAGGGCCUGGAGCAGUGGUGGGGAUAAGUCGUUGGGGCGAGGUGUCUUUCCCCACCACUCUGACUCUCCUGCUGUCCUGCAUGCUCGACUCAUACAGAGUCAUUGAUUGAGGUGCUGGUGAACUGAUUGAAGACUUAAAAAUGUUUUGUCAUUAGUGUGAGGUGUGAUAGUACGGACUGUUGUGAUAAAUUACCACUGUUUAUGAUUUACUUUAUAUGUUUUAAAAUAAAUGUUCUACAUAAACUAUUAAAAUUGAAUGAUCAUUUACAAUGCCACUAUUUCCAGCUGUAAUAAUUU